rnacentral:rRNA from 1 species
CGAACGCUGGCGGCGUGCUUAAUACAUGCAAGUCGAACGAGAAAGCCAUACUUCGGUAAGGUGAGUAAAGUGGCGAACGGGUGAGUAACACGUGGAAAACUUGCCCUUAAGUCUGGGAUAAUCCUUCGAAAGGAGGUCUAAUACCGGAUAAUAUUCUUUGAUGGCAUCAUCUUAGAAUCAAAGGCGGGGUAACCUGUCGCUUAGGGAUGGUUCCGCGCUCCAUUAGCCUGUUGGUGAGGUAACGGCUCACCAAAGCUACGAUGGAUAGCCGACCUGAGAGGGUGACCGGCCACACUGGGACUGAGAUACGGCCCAGACUCCUACGGGAGGCAGCAGUAGGGAAUAUUGCGCAAUGGACGAAAGUCUGACGCAGCAACGCCGCGUGGGUGAUGAAGCAUCUUGGUGUGUAAAACCCUGUCAGUGGGGAAGAAACGCACAGGUAGUAACUGACCUGUGCCUGACGGUACCCGCAGAGGAAGUCCCGGCUAACUCC